AACCUGGUUGAUCCUGCCAGUAGUCAUAUGCUUGUCUCAAAGAUUAAGCCAUGCAUGUCUAAGUAUAAGCACUUGUACUGUGAAACUGCGAAUGGCUCAUUAAAUCAGUUAUCGUUUAUUUGAUUGUACUUUACUACAUGGAUACCUGUGGUAAUUCUAGAGCUAAUACAUGCGAAAAAUCCCAACUUCUGGAAGGGAUGUAUUUAUUAGAUUAAAAACCAAUGCGUAUCUUCGGGUUCGUUUUCUUGGUGAUUCAUGAUAACUUUUCGAAUCGCAUGGCCUAGCGCCGGCGAUAUUUCAUUCAAAUUUCUGCCCUAUCAACUGUCGAUGGUAAGGUAGUGGCUUACCAUGGUUAUAACGGGUGACGGAGAAUUAGGGUUCGAUUCCGGAGAGGGAGCCUGAGAAACGGCUACCACAUCUAAGGAAGGCAGCAGGCUCGAAAAUUACCCAAUCCCGACUCGGGGAGGUAGUGACAAGAAAUAACGAUACGGGGUCUUAAUAGGUCUCGCAAUUGGAAUGAGUACAAUUUAAAUCCUUUAACGAGGAUCAAUUGGAGGGCAAGUCUGGUGCCAGCAGCCGCGGUAAUUCCAGCUCCAAUAGC
rnacentral:rRNA from 1 species